rnacentral:rRNA from 1 species
GAGUCGAGCGGAGAGAAGAGCUUGCUCUUCGAUUCAGCGGCGGACGGGUGAGUAAUGCCUAGGAAUCUGCCUGGUAGUGGGGGACAACGUUUCGAAAGGAACGCUAAUACCGCAUACGUCCUACGGGAGAAAGCAGGGGACCUUCGGGCCUUGCGCUAUCAGAUGAGCCUAGGUCGGAUUAGCUAGUUGGUGAGGUAAUGGCUCACCAAGGCGACGAUCCGUAACUGGUCUGAGAGGAUGAUCAGUCACACUGGAACUGAGACACGGUCCAGACUCCUACGGGAGGCAGCAGUGGGGAAUAUUGGACAAUGGGCGAAAGCCUGAUCCAGCCAUGCCGCGUGUGUGAAGAAGGUCUUCGGAUUGUAAAGCACUUUAAGUUGGGAGGAAGGGCAGUAAGAUAAUACCUUGCUGUUUUGACGUUACCGACAGAAUAAGCACCGGCUAACUCUGUGCCAGCAGCCGCGGUAAUACAGAGGGUGCAAGCGUUAAUCGGAAUUACUGGGCGUAAAGCGCGCGUAGGUGGUUUGUUAAGUUGGAUGUGAAAGCCCCGGGCUCAACCUGGGAACUGCAUCCAAAACUGGCAAGCUAGAGUACGGUAGAGGGUGGUGGAAUUUCCUGUGUAGCGGUGAAAUGCGUAGAUAUAGGAAGGAACACCAGUGGCGAAGCGACCACCUGGACUGAUACUGACACUGAGGUGCGAAAGCGUGGGAGCAAACAGGAUAGAUACCCUGGUAGUCCACGCCGUAAACGAUGUCAACUAGCCUUGGAAUCCUUGAGAUUUUAGUGCGCAGCUACGCAUUAAGUUGACGCCUGGGGAGUACGGCCGCAGUUAAAACUCAAAUGAAUUGACGGGGCCCGCACAAGCGGUGGACAUGUGGUUUAAUUCGAAGCAACGCAACCUACCGCCUUGACUGCAGAAAUUUCUAAUGAUUGGCCUCGGGACUCUGACCUGCAGGUGUCCAGCUCCGGAGGGGAUCCCAAGCCGCCCUGGUGGUACGAACA